rnacentral:lncRNA from 1 species
CUGGAAUGCAAGUCUGUGGAGGCUGAUCUUGUAGUCUGCAUCUGUCAUCAGGCAGUUUAAUAUACGCCAUCCUGUACCCUCAGGAUAAAGGCUUGCUCACAACAAGCCUUCUAAAGAAUUUGAAAACUGGAAGGGACCUCAAAGUCUAGGUUGUAAGACAUGAAACACAGGAGCCCUUGCAUAUCUCCUUUGGAAAUAAGAUGACAAAGCUGCCACAGAGAAAAGCCGGGGGCAGGUCAGCCAACAAGACUGCAGAAGGAACACAUGCUCAAGUCUCGGCAGCACAGUACAAUUGUUAGAGAAAGGAUGUUCUUACCGCAAGUGGCAAAGAUCCAUUGCUGUCAUUGACGCUGUGGUCAAAAACAAUUCCUGCCAAUAUGUAGAAAGCUUUGGGAUCAUCAAUUAUAUAACGUUCAAACAAAGACACUGAAGAACAGCCUAAAACUACAGAGAGAAAAAUCCCAUCAGUGAGUGGCUGGUGUGAAGGCAAAGGCUACCCAGCUGCCCGCUUUCUACUUAAGGAGACUUAAGAUCGACAGCUGACUGCUCCAUUAACUCCAGCAUUCGUUCUGCAAAUACACGAGCAGAGAGAGACAGAAAAUAAGGGAGAUGGAGUCUUGGCCUGUCGCCCAGGCUGAAGUGCAAUGGCACGAUCUCGGCUCACUGCAAUCUCCACGUCCUGGGUUCAAGCCACUCUCCUGCCUCAGCCUCCCAGGGAGCUGGGACUACAGGUAUGUGCCACCACGCCCGGCUAAUUUUUUUGUAUUUUUAGUAGAGAUGAAAUUUCACCAUGCUGGCCAGGCUGGUCACAAACUCUUGACCUCAAGUGACCCGCCCACCUCGGCCUCCCAAAGUGCUGGGAUUACAGACAUGAGCUACUGCACCCGGCUGAAGCACAACUUUCAAAACAGUGAUUUCCCCACAUUUUACCACUGAGGGCAUUUUUAUUUUUUAUUUUUUUAGAGACAGGGUCUCGUUCUGUUACCCAAGCUGGAGUGCAGUGGUGCAAUCAUAGCUCACUGUAGGUUCAAGAGAUCCUCCCACCUCAGCAUCCCAAGUAGCUGGGUCUACAAGCAUCAACUACCAUACCUGGUUAAUUUUUUAUUUUUUGUAGAGACAGGGUUUCACUAUGUUGCCCAAGCUGGUCUCAAACUCCUGGAACUGAAAGCUUUUAAAAGAAUUAUCCUCA